AACGAACGCUGGCGGCAUGCCUAACACAUGCAAGUCGAACGAAGCCUUCGGGCUUAGUGGCGCACGGGUGCGUAACACGUGGGAAUCUGCCCUUCGGUUCGGAAUAACAGUUAGAAAUGACUGCUAAUACCGGAUGAUGACGUAAGUCCAAAGAUUUAUCGCCGAAGGAUGAGCCCGCGUAGGAUUAGGUAGUUGGUAGGGUAAUGGCCUACCAAGCCGACGAUCCUUAGCUGGUCUGAGAGGAUGAUCAGCCACACUGGGACUGAGACACGGCCCAGACUCCUACGGGAGGCAGCAGUGGGGAAUAUUGGACAAUGGGCGAAAGCCUGAUCCAGCAAUGCCGCGUGAGUGAUGAAGGCCUUAGGGUUGUAAAGCUCUUUUACCAGGGAUGAUAAUGACAGUACCUGGAGAAUAAGCUCCGGCUAACUCCGUGCCAGCCGCCGCGGUAAUACCAACGCGUAAUGU
rnacentral:rRNA from 1 species